rnacentral:tRNA from 1 species
UGGGGAUAUAGUUCAGUGGUGGAAUGUUUGCCUAGCAUGCAUGAGGCCCUAAAUUCAAUCCCUAGAACCACAA